ensembl:lncRNA
AAAGUUCAACAAAUAGCAACAGAAAACGCCCACAUCCAACAAAGUAGUAAUACUGUCAAUACUAAUAAUAAUAACGCCAUGGAGUGUUGGAUGUUUGGAUUAAUGGAUGGAUAGAUGUACAAGUAUAUGAUAAAUGGACAGAUAAGGAUAGGUAUAUGAUGGUUGUAUGGAUAGACAGAUAAGUACAGUAUAUGGUGCUUGGAUGGAUAAGUAUAUGAUGGAUGGAUGGGCGGAUAAGUAUAUGAUGAUUGGAUUAAUUGAUGGAUGGGUGGUUAAGUAAAUGUGUAAUGGAUGAGGUACGGACUCAGAUGCAAUACGACAAACAGCAGUUGUAGUUCCAAACAGACUAUUUCAUUAUCCUCAAUGCAAACCAACAGUUUACAGAGACACUAGCAAAAGACGUGGUCGGAAGACUGGGUGAACUACUGGGGCAGGGCGAGACGAGAUAGUCAGGGUCGACAACAGGGAAUCAGUCCAAAAGAAAGUGCUGGAAGGUCUAUCAUAAAUGAGAGGACAAUCUGGCAGUGAGUGACUGGGCUUUAAAUACUGAAGGGAGUGAGUUGGGUAGACAGGUGAAUGUGAUUGGGCUGACGAGGUGAAAUGUGACUAGCAGCUGUACAGAAUGAACUGAUUAGGUGGAGUGAGAUGUGGAAAUGACAGGGAAGGACUGACAGCGCUGUGACAUUAUGAUGGAUGGAUGGAUAGAAUGGUUGUAUAGCUGCAGGGUAGGGUAUAUGAUGGUUGCAUGAAUUGAUGGAUGGAUAAGUAUACAAAGGUUGGAUAGAUGGACGCUUAAGUAUAUGAUGGUUUAAUGGAUGGACGCAUAAGUAUAUGAUGGUUUGAUGGAUUGAUAGAUUUUGGAAAAAUGGAUAGGUAGAUAGAAAGAGGAUUGUGUCUCAUCACCCAGAGGGCCCACAGUUACGUUUUACUGCCUGCAUAGCAGAUCAUGGUCUUCCUCUGGGUUCAGCUGAGGUCUUGUUGAUGGAACCAACCUAGUUGGGUCUUGAUAGGCUCAGCACGAAGCGCAGCGUUUCCAGUGUUACCAGUUCCAGUGCUGUGUGCUUUGGCGUCAACAGGUUAUUGCAUAUUUAUCAUGCUUUGUCUUUUUGGGCUCUGUUACA